rnacentral:rRNA from 1 species
AUUGAACGCUGGCGGCAUGCCUUACACAUGCAAGUCGAACGGUAACAGGUCUUCGGAUGCUGACGAGUGGCGAACGGGUGAGUAAUACAUCGGAACGUGCCCAGACGUGGGGGAUAACGAGGCGAAAGCUUUGCUAAUACCGCAUACGAUCUAAGGAUGAAAGCAGGGGACCGCAAGGCCUUGUGCGUUUGGAGCGACCGAUGGCAGAUUAGGUAGUUGGUGGGAUAAAAGCUUACCAAGCCGACGAUCUGUAGCUGGUCUGAGAGGACGACCAGCCACACUGGGACUGAGACACGGCCCAGACUCCUACGGGAGGCAGCAGUGGGGAAUUUUGGACAAUGGGCGAAAGCCUGAUCCAGCAAUGCCGCGUGCAGGAUGAAGGCCUUCGGGUUGUAAACUGCUUUUGUACGGAACGAAAAGGCUCUGGCUAAUACCUGGGGCACAUGACGGUACCGUAAGAAUAAGCACCGGCUAACUACGUG